CUACAUUCCCUUUGGAGGUAAAUUAACUCUUUCCGGCUCCUUCUUGCAAUACAACUGUAAUUUUCCAAGUGCAAUGCUUGCAGCCAAAAAGUUCAAUUAUCAUUCAAAUGCAGGCAAUUUACUUACUGGUAGGAUCAGUGCCCUUAGUUCAUAUUCGGGAGGAGGCAAACAUCAGAUGGAGCCCAUCUCUGUUCUAACCGCCCGUGGCCAACAAUCACUGGAGCACGGUUGAGACUUGUUUAGGGUUCGGAGUCCCUUAUAAGUGAGGACUCAGCCAUUAGGACCAAACAGCCCAGCAAGGAACAGCCCUAUACUGCUUGCUUGCUAAUGGCUUGGAACCCACAGCUAAGAGGGCCCUCGGUGCAGAUCGCGGCUUUGAGCUCCUUCAGUCCGAACCUAUUGGGCCUUGGAGAGUGGAGCUUGGAGCUCUGAGAAUAUGGCUCGGUGCAUCCGCGGUCACGGCCAGGCUACAUCUCCCGGAGGCCUGCCCAGAUGAGUCCCAGGAGACCAGUGCUGUAGAUUUCACAAGGCUCAGGGCCGCGGAGAACGACUCUGGCCAGGCAUGGAUCCCAGCCCCUUGGGAGACUUCAUCCGACCCACCGGGCCGCAGGGUGGCUGGUCGAGGAAGACCCCUUCACUCUUUUCCAAAAGGCCCCAACUUCAGUCCGAGACUUCCCUUUCUCUGGAGCAUGAAGAUAAGGAGGGAGGCAAUCCCCUCUCAGUGAUGGACCUGGGCAUCGAUUAAAUUCCCUUAGGGGGCAGAAGUGUUGAAAAAAAAUGCGUGGCAAAAUGGCAGGGACUUUACUUGUAAAUACUGUUAAUUUCACCUAUUCUCUUCUCUGCGGAUGAAGUAUGAAAAUCGAGUAUACUUUUCUUGAAAGUAAAUCUAAGACAGUGAGCUGCAUCCUUGCGUGUUUGUUUCCACGCAAACAGGAGGCAGAGACUGCUAAUUCCCUCCCCCUGUCCUUGGUUGGAGAAUUUCAGUUGUAGUCUACCAGUCCAUGGACUCCACCAAAAGACUACAGCUCUCAGUUUCCCCCGCAACUCGGUGUGACCACCUGCCUAGGUCCUGGCCAAUGAGGUAUAAACUGAGGCGUAUCCCAGAGGCUUCCUAAGUGAGUUGACUGAUGGGCUACACCCUUUCUGCCACGUGAGAUUUCUUCCUUCUUUUGGCCUGCGGGCAGGACACCGUGGCCGAAGUGACAGCAUCUAUCCUGGGCCAUUGAGGCUGGAAAGCACAUGUUAGGUAGAUAAAGCAGAACACCGGGGUCUGGGCCCCUGAAGACCAUGGAAUCACCAAACCCGUCCUUCCUUUGAACUUUUGCAUGAUAGUGAAAUAAAUAAUGUCUAUCUUAUUUAAGCCA
rnacentral:lncRNA from 1 species